rnacentral:misc_RNA from 1 species
GCACAGGCAGUCUCGACACUCAAUAUUGGUGAAGAUCCUCUUGGGGAGCAGUUUACUCAUGCGAGAGCUUCCUUCUUUAAUGGAAUGAUUGGUAACAGCAAUUUGGGCACUAGAGUGGAUCUCUACAAGGAGUAUUGAUUAAACCAUUGAUUCUAAUAAAGUUGUAUAUAGGCAUAUAGCUGAUGUGGGCGAUAGUGAGAUUGUGUGUUUUGUGAGGCUUGCAACUUAUAUCUGGUUUGAGUUGAGAUUUCUUUGGUGAGACUUGUUA